GCCAUGUGGUUUAAAGUGGCAGAGGACCGUCUGUAAAUUUGCAGUCCAUCAUGUAGAGUUGGGCUUUUCAAACACAUUUCAUUGUCCAGAAGGAUUUAUGUUGACCUUAUAAGAAACUGUGAUACAGUUUGGAAGGCAAAGACAUGUUAAGCUUUUUUUUUUUUUUUAAAGAUUUUGUUUUUUCCUUUUUCUCCACAAAGCCCCCCAGUACAUAGUUGUAUAUUCUUCGUUGUGGGUCCUUCUAGUUGUGGUAUGUGGGACGCCACCUCAGCGUGGUUAGAUGAGCAGUGCCAUGUCCUCACCCAGGAUUCGAACCAAUGAAACAUUGGGCUGCCUGCAGCGGAGCGCACGAGCUUAGCCACUCGGCCAUGGGGCCGGCCGGACAUGUUAAGCUUUUUAAAGUAGUGUAUCUGCUUGACAAGAAUAACCUGAAUAAAUGUUACUGGCAGCUUUCUACAAAGUUGGAAGAGUGACUGCCACUGAUGAAGACCACCCACCAAACUGUGUGACGUACAAAAUAACCACCGGAGACAUCCAGGUUAUACAAGUAUUCUAGAUUCACCCACCCUCUGGAAUGAUUGAACUCACCACACAGUCAGACUACGAGAAUGUGAAGCAAUAUAACUUCACUGUGGAAGCUGUGGACUGUGACACCUUUCAUCCUCCCACAGCAAUGACCACAGUCACUGCUGACAUCGAAGAUGAGAAUGAUGAAACACCUGUCUGCACAUCUGCUCUAUAUGAGGCAGUCAUUUUUGACAAUGUUGUUGCUGGGACAAACGUCAGUGGCUUCAAACUAAACUACCAUGACAGGGAUUCAUAAGAUUUUGAAAUGCACUUCGAGCUGGUCUCUGUUUCUGGGAAUGUGCAUGAAUAUGACAGCAAAACAGGUGCAAGAAAGUGGAAGAAGCCCCCAGGCAGGAGGAGGAGUCCUUGGCAAGCAUAUACUCCCUCCUAGAUGCCCACCCUUCUGAGAAGUCUACAUCCUUAAAAAUUCCUAUGCAAGGAUAGCGUUUUCCUGCGUCUCUGAGUGAGUGCCUUUUUGCGUAUGUCACUGUCACAGGCAGUUUUUUCCUUGGCUAUCUAAAAUUAAAUUGUAGAUGUGAGGCCAACUGCUUUGUGUUUCCAGCUCUCUAUAAUCUUCCAGUUCAGGGUGUCUGGGUGAGGGCAGCAGGAGUGGUCAACCUUAAGUCUCUGAAUAUGUUUUACUGAAACUAGAGACUAAAUUGACAUAUGUUCAUUGUCUGACUUUGCCCUGAGGAACGUAUGCUUGUUAUGACUGCAGACUUUGUUUUGGUCUCUGCUAUAGCCCCAGCACAUGCUUGGCACAUAGUGGGGCCCCCAUACAUAUUUGGCGACUAAAUGAAUUUGAAUAUAUGAAUUUAGGUCUCUUGCCUUUAAUUCAAAUUGCUUAUUACUCCCACGGAACAGAAAUGGGAUUCUUUAGAAAAGAACUUUUUUGGUUACCGAUAGUCAUAAAAAUGCAAGAUUUUUUUCCAGCAUUUCUAAAAAACACAAUUGAUCUUGCUUUUAAUUUUCCUUUUAUAGCACUAUGGAAAAUGGCCACUUGAAAACUUUAUUUAUUAAUGCCUUGCCAAAGAAAUGUCAGAAUCCGGACUUUUGAGAGCUAUGUACUUGGACAAAUAAGUUUUAAAAUACAUGUUCUCUGAUGCUCUCUCUCUCAGCUGCCAGAAGACCCACGAUAGCAGAAGACCAGCAGGGUUGUUGAUGGUAGAAGUUAACCCCACAUUUAACCCAAGAUAGAGUUCAACUUGGGAUAAUUUUGUUUUAACAAAUCUUAUUGAAAGUAAAACACACCACGAGCAAUGAGCUAACAUCUGAGUCAGAGGAUACCAGGGGCUUGUUGGUCAGAAAUGCCUUGAUAUUUAUCCCCUUUUGCGUGUGCACACACAGACAAUUCCUUUUCAGUCUGGGGGCACCUCACCUCCCAACGAGAGCGAGCACCUGAAAAUAAACAGGCUCUUCUUUUGCUUAUGUCUAGCUCA
rnacentral:lncRNA from 1 species